ensembl:lncRNA
AGUUUCAGCUUUAGCAUCAUUCCUUCCAAAGAAAUCCCAGGGCUGAUCUCCUUCAGAAUGGACUGAUUGGAUCUCUUUGCAAUCCAAGGGACUCUCAAGAGUCUUCUCCAACACCACAGUUCAAAAGCAUCAAUUGUUCGGUGCUCAGCUUUCUUCACAGUCCUACUCUCACAUCCAAAGAUGACCACAGGAAAAUCCAUAGCCUUGACUAGACGAACCUUUGUUGGCAAAGAAAUGUCUCUGCUUUUGAAUAUGCUAUCUAGGAAUAUGAAUCCUGAAGCUGAAUUACCUAAGGGGCCUCUACGGUGAAGUGAAAUAGAUGUUGGUGGAAGCAUUUACACCCAGUCAGCUUGAAGAGUCUCAAAUGGACCCUACCACUGAGAAAUCAAGAUGGCAGUCCACUAUGGGGAAUUGAGAAAAAUGGAUUAAUACAAGAGUGCUGUGAUAAUAUACAACCAAGACAGGGUUCUUUUAACAUGGAUUUCAUGAAAUGAAUGAAGAUAUAGGUUUUUUAACAGCACAAAUGGACAGUAAAUUUGUCUUUCUAGAGACUUUUUGUAUCAUUAGGAAUAUUUUUGACAUUUGGAGAAAAAGAUGGCACAUUAACAGAUGAUAGUUUGUAUGCCUGGAAUUUUUUCAGUUUGAUUUGUAUGAGUAUGACCUUGUGGAAUGUUAACUUUAAUAAAAUUUCUAACACUUUAAAAUU